rnacentral:lncRNA from 1 species
GAACUAUAAAGGAGGAGGACUGAGCGCUGCGAGGAAUACACACACACACACACAACACCAGACUCUAGAGCAUCACAACAUUCGAGCACCACAGCCCUCACACUCCUCAGGAGUCGUGGUAGUAGUUGCUAUCUCCAGUUGUAAUAAAGCCUUUGAGAAAUUGUAUCACUCCGUGGUGGAGGUAGGCAGAAGGUAGUCCUCUUUUUCUCUUUGUAAUCCCUUCGGAGUCUCCCGAAAGGGAAACCCGUAUGUAAAUUAUGUUGUCGAAAUGAAGUAGUUUCGUGCUUCACUUGGUUUUUCUGUUAUGAAUUUAUGAGAUGAGUUCUUAAGCUAGGGAUCCUAUAGGAGAAAACCCUGCCGGUAGUUCUUUGUUUAGCAUGUGUGGCGUCUAUUGAGAACCUUGUAGCCGUAGAGAAGUGUUCCCUUCGGGUGGAACUGCCUGGGAAGACGGUAGGAAUUUAUCCCAUAAGUUCAUAAUAUAAACAUCAAGUAAAAGAACUUAGUUGCUUCUAAAGCAACAUAGUGAUAAAUACGGUGAGUACCGAGUAGGAUUAACACAACUGCUGCAUAUCCGUAGGCCGUCUCAUUGGUUUCGCCAACCCAUAAAAGAUCCUGCAUAAACAAAUAAAAUAUAAUAAUUACUGUAUCUAAUUAAAUUACGUUAAUCUCGAAUUCACUAAUAAAAUACAUUUUAAUAUUAAUUAAUUUCGAAAAUUUUAAUUAACUAAGUUUUCAUACUAAAUAAUUUCGUAUUCCGCACAAACAUAUCCUGAAAGAAAUAGAACUUGUUAGAUAAGUGGAUUUGUUGUAUCACAACACUUAAAAGAGAGAGCAACAAAUGUUGUUUUCGAAUGAUAAGGCACCCCUUCGGUAUCAACACCUUCCAAGCCCAAGCAAAACCUGUGCGAGUUACCUUUCUGACCGUGUGUCACCGUCAAAAGAUUAUCUUUGGGCCGUAGCAAGUCAAACAAGAUCAACUACUCUAUGGUGAAGCUGCAACUUCUGGGUGGAACUGCAGCAAAGUAGAUUUGAUGGAGUGGAGCCGAUUUUGAAAGGAUAGAGCAGUCCCAAACAGGCUCUACAUACUGGUUUCCUUGUGAAAGUGCAAUCUCAUCGAUAGCUGCAAUUCUUCAUGCUUGAAACUACUCCCACCGUCCCAUAAUAUAAGAACGUUAGUUUUUCAAGCUAACGUUCUUAUAUUAUAGGACGGAGUAGUAGAAAGGUAGUCUCAUCUGUCAAACCUUCAUGUCACCUUAUUCUUUUAUAUAUGCUCCAAUGCAAUAAGAAUGUCGAUGUGCACCGCCCUCGUUGCAAAGUAUCAAGCUGACUUUGCAGCUAGCAGCUGUGCAAGCAUACAAUGCUUAUUUAUACAUCAACCUUUUGCAUUUUGAAGUCAUUGCUUUAACAUAUUUCAGAUUACAGAGGUUCCUAAGCUUUAUUGUUGAAUUCUAUCUCUUCAAUAAUUAGUAUAUUUCAAGAGGGGCAAAAAUAAUUGAUUAUGACUGUAAGGGUAUGUGGUGUGUGGUUUGUUCACGAGAAAAGGCUGAACAGAUAGUCUGUUAUUCCUAGAUUUGGUACAGAUGCACAUUUUGCAUCUUACUUAUUUCCUACAUAAGCACAUAAGCAGCAGAAUGAGCAGCAUAAAGCGUGGUCGAUAUCAGCUGUGAAAAAAGACAGGUGUGUAUGGGUUCAAAGUAGAAAAAUAUUCUGGUUUGCUAACAUUUCAAUGGAAGCACAAGAGCUGAGAAAAAUAACUGAAUUUCACCCAUGUGCUAAAUGGAGAACAGAAGUUAUUUCAAAACUUGUCAUUUACAUAAUUUGCGGCCAAGAACACUGUACAAGCAUGCCUUUUCAAUUUCAAGUAAGUAGGACUCAGUUUGUAAGGAUAAAACGGUAGCAUCAACAGCUUAAGCCGGGUCCUAGUACUACUGCAUGGGCACCGUCGUAUCAGUUCUUCCCCUUGGCGAAGAGCCUGAUUCUUUGUCCUGCUUAAAGGCCUUCUUCAGGAAGAAUGCCAUGGCAAGCUGUGCGCCGAGGUUAGAUCGACCUUUCGACAGACAAACGAUGCUUCCAAUUAGCAAAAGUCCACUUGCAAUCGUUUCCCGUGAUGACUUCUUCCCUAGCUGCUUGCAGGGAGAAGUUCCGGAUGAAGGUGUAGGAGGAGCAACAGCCGCAGCUGUAUUCACUGGACAUCGAUUACUUUCAUCCAUGUUGAUCUGCAAGUCCUGGGGAAACUGAUGCAAGAAAAUAGAUUCAUCAGAAUGACAUUCACACAUCAUGUGGAUACAUACAUAAUUUUAAAUUCAAAAGAAUUGGCUGAUACUACUUAUAAACAUAUUUCAUCUCCAAAACAAUUGCAUUGACUGCAUUGUUGUAUUUUAAUCAUGGGAGCAAACAAGAGACAACUUACAAUCCAUAACAAGCAAUAAACUAACAUGAAUCAACAAACUGUUAAGGAGCACCAACCUUCUUGGUAAGUCUUCGCAUGGUCGAAAUUGAUAUCGACGGACCACGGUGCUGAGGAUACCGGCGUAAAGCAUUGUUCAUUUUACAAAUAUAAUUCCAGAUGCCCUUGGAAAAGGCUAGCUUUGCCAUCUCGAUGUUCAUGCCAUUGUCUUCAUGGUGCAGCACUGUGAUUUCACAUGCGUCUCUUCCAGGGACUACAAGGUAAAUUGUAGGUGUAAAAUUACCAACAGACCACGUAGAUGAUAUAAGUACCCCGUUACAAAAAUGAUGACCCUAGAAAGUGUGCAAUAAAAUUUGUCUAACUUUUACUAUUUAUAUGUAAAAGGAUUAAUGAGAAAGAUCAAAUGAAAAUACUAACAUCAUUAGAUUUGUCAUGAAAUCUUUUCAUAAUUAUGUAUGCUUUUAGCUUUCUUUGCUAACAUAUUCAUAUAAGAAAUAACGAUCGAAAUUGCAUCUUCAAAACUCCCUCUGUUCCAAAAUAGUGUCUACAGUGUUUUUAUUUGGUAUUACUGAUGUUGAUAUUUUCCUCUAUGAACUUGGUCAAGCUUGACUUCUGAAAAAAUCUAUACGCGCUAUGUUUUGUAAUGGAGAGUACUUGGUAGAUGAAUUUACUGCACAUUUCAAGCAAAUAAUAAUAUACAAGGAUUAGCAAGCUAUAAAUCAAACAGGUAGUUAUAAACCAAUAUUAAAAAGGUAUAAAAUGGCACUUUCUAUUCGUUCCAACUUCCGAUUUCCAUCAGAGUGGCACAUAUCAGGUCAUACAGGAAAUUAACUUAAUGGGUACAGAAAUAUACUACUCAGUACAACUCAGUACACAUAGCAUUUCCAACUUCCGAGUUCUAUUUGUUUUGAGUUCCUCUCAAAUGUGCACAUAGCAUUCAGUACAACUCAAUGGGUACAGAAAUAUUACAAGCAUCAGGUUCUUUUAUAUAAGACAAAGUACAAGUCAAUCCAAUCCACAUAUUUAUAAAGAUACAAAGUUGUGAUAUUGAUAUAGUAGUUGCAUUUGAAUCUGAAAACUAUGUAUUAAUUUAUAUCUUAUGGGAAUUAUAUAGGCUGGUAUUUCCUGUUGUAACAAAAGCUAGUCACAUAAUAGCAUUCACUCAGCGUCAUUCUAUAUGUCACUUUUUAAAAAGCUACCAUCACCACCAAACGAGUCACUGAAAGAAGAUAGCUUAGUCUAAGCUAAAUAAAAUACCAAACAGAAGGCCUUGUAUCAAUUUUCACUUACCUUUCCUAAUACACCACCCCGAUCUCAGAAGUCGUACUCGAACAAAUUUUCUUUGUAUUGGCGCAAGAGAGUGUUCACAUUCCUGCCAGGAUAAACUAAUUAAACAAGGCAAUCAGGUAAUUCUGCAAUAGCAAUGUCAUUCUCGUUCAGACUGCAUAUGGGGCAACUCAAGCGUAAACUGAGUGACAGCCUUUUCUUUUAGAAUGGCAGCUCAACUUUACUUCAAGUGACUAAUGUUUUCUGGUUCAAUUUCAUUCAGGUGAGUUUUUUUUCAACAUCAGUUGAUACAAUUUUUUGUUUUUUUGGUUUCAAGUGAUUUUAUGUUUAUUUGGUUCAACCUUAGUUCAAGUGACUUUAUAUUUUUGUUUGUUCAACAUUAGUUCGAGUGAUUUCAUGUUUAUUUGGUUCAACCUUAGUUCUAGUGAUUGUAAUUUUUUGGUUCAACCUUGGUUCAUGUGAUUGUAUUUUUUUUGUUAAACCUUAGUUCAAGAGAUUUUAUGUUAUCUACAAUGGGCAUAACAUUAUCGCUAUAAUAUGUACGUAUGCAGUCACGUCACUGAAUUUUCAAGCAUAAGAGUUGAAUCUUGAAUUUCAGGUUAGAAUAGAACAUUUUAGAUGUAACUGUGGCUCCAUCAACUUCAUUCUGUAAUUUACUGCAGGAACAUUGCUACCAUUCUAGGUGACACAGGACGAGCUAAUAUUUUCAUUUCGGGUGAAAACUGAACCCUUCAUGAUUAGGAUAACUGUACAUGAAUGUACGUGUAGUGAGUAAAUUACUGCAUCCGUACAAAAACCAAGAAUAGCACAACUGCAGAUAAAUCGAUAUCUAAUGAAAAGAUGUCAUAUAUAUCACUGAUGCACAGUUGUGUGAAACUGCAAAUGAAUAGUUUGUGCAAGAGGCAGAGAGGGUGAGGGAGAUGUGACUAACCUUGACCAAGCAAUAGAAAGAGUUCUCAUCUGAUGCCCAAACUCGCCAUGCCAAUAUGUACUCUCUUGGUGUUAAAAGAGGGAACUUCUUAACUGUUCGCCCUAUCUCAAUUCCGCUAUUUUCAUCACACUGCAGCUGCUCAUGCUUUAUCACGGUGUUAUCCCACUCCAUUCUGUACUCAUUAUCCAUGUAAAAGUCCCUCAAAAGCUCUGCUGAGCAUCCCUCAUAAGUUGUCACACUAAGAUAUCUAGGUGUGCCAUCCUGCAUUUGAGAAGAAUUACGAUAGAUAAAUAAAAUUCGUAAGCUAGACUCUGCACCCAAUCAUGGCAAACUCUUGUUCAGAAUCCAGAAACAACCCAUAGGCCCUAUGAAAUUCCAUUUUAUCAAUAAUUAGUGAUUAACUCUUGCGAGCAUUAUGAGUUCUAACUAAUUGCAAAGCCUUAAUUUCACACCUCAAUUUCAUGUAAAAGAAAACAGAUACAGUUCCAAUUCAUCGGGGGAAAAGCAUAACAAUUAUUCAAAAAAUUGUUUGCAGCCAUCAUUGAGAAUUUUACUAGUGGUCAGGUGGUGGCCGACUACCAGAGUCGAUGGGUCGAGUGAAAUGUUAAUCCUUGUCCGACUAAACCCCUGAAUUAAUCACAACGAGCCCGUGCUAUGAUGUAUGUGCUACAAAUCUUAACAUGCUUCUAUCUAGCCUAGUAUCUCUAGGCUGAACCCAAGAACAAUAGCCAAACUCUGGCACAUAUUUAUCUGUAAGAUGAGAAUGAAUACAAAUCAAUGAGUAACAGGGCAGCGCUGGUACCGCGGUCCUCUCGCACCACGCCUUGUAGGAGACGGCGUCGUUCCCCUUGGCGAUGACGGGAUCCCAGCCCUCGAGCUCCGGCUGGCGGGCGCCGACCCCCAGGCUGCCCACCAGCUGCCUCAGAUCGUCCUCCGUCACGAGGCCCUCCACCCUGCGCUCCACAAAACACAAACACCCCCAUCCGAUCAAAUCAACCGCACGAAUUGAACCAAGGGGCAGGGGAGGGGGUAUCUGACCGACCCUGAGCCGGAGCUGGACCCGGACCCGGAGGACGGGGAGGGGGAGGCGGGCGCCGCGGGGGCAUCCUCCUGCUGCCGGGCAAGGCGUGCGCGCCCCCGGCGGCGGCGGCGGACGAGGAGGACGGAGAGGUGGGCGACGAGGAGCAGGAGGAGCGCGGCGGCGGUGGCCCAGCCGCUGGCCCCGCGCGCCGCGGGGCGCCAGAGCUCGGCGGCGCCGAGGAGGGCCUCCAGCGGCGGCAUGGGAUGGGAUGGGUGGCGCGCGCGCGCUCGGGUCGGUCCGCGGCCUUGGGGUUCCCCUCCCCUGCCUUGUUCCUUCCGUGAUGGGGGAGAAAGCGAGGAGGCUAAAAGGAGAAAAAUAAAAAUAGUCGGAGGAAAAUAGGGGAAAAGGGUGAGGCGGGCGGCCCUGCUCGGACGGUCGCCGCAAGUUUUGUGAUGGGCUGGGUUUAUGCCCUUUUUUUCCUGGGUUCAGACCUUGAGUGUAGUGGCUCACAAUGAACUUGGAGUGGGUUACAAGAAAUGGGCCACAUGAAUCUCCUCUUUUUCUCACUGGAUGAGUGUGAUAUGGUUGAAUCUUGGUGAUGGCCUUGGAUAAGAUGCACGGCAUGGUCCCGCUGGAUGUAUCCUCUCAUAUUAUUAUUUAUUAACUGGCUUUAUGAAUUAUAGGAGAAGAGAAGAUAAUUACAGGAGAAGAUUUUGGCACAGAGCGGAGUUUUAUUUCGCUACUAGUAAGAUCACAGCGCCUCUUGUUUUCAUAUGCGGUGUUUGCUUCGAAUUGUUAGUGCGGGGUACACAAUUGAUCAUAGGAUAGCAUUCUCAUAUGGUGUAAAUGUUUAUAAUAAGUUAAUAACAUUGAGAAUAUACAACAUAAUUCUUUUGAUUAACAUAAACCCCCCCCCCCCUCUGAUUUUCAUUAGGAGAAACCAACGGGUUCAUAGAGACUACUAAAAGAAAAAGGGAAAAGAAGCCCUAAAGGCAGCGAUAUCCCUAGACCAACUGAACAAAUGAGCAACAUAGCACAAUACCUGCCAACGACAAAGUAUCAUUGCAACGACGCAACUUAAAGCAUAAACGUUUUCAGGAACAAGCAAACCGGUUUUAUGACUUCCAAAAGAAUAGACAAUAUAGAUGUAAAUGCUUUGUUUAGAUAAUGAAUGCACAUGUUCAUUGAAGAACUCCAUUCCGAUAUGGUGUAUAUAUGUUGUCUCGAUGGCCAUGCAAAUAUGAUACCAUGUAACUACAUUUACCCUUUUUUAGAGAAAGUUGAAUAUGGCGAGGUUGAAGCAGUUGGAUUUCUGUGUUUCUACUCUUUCGAUUGUAGUUCUUUGAUUUAGUUUACACAUAGGAUUUCAAAAUCCUAGAGGGGAACUUACUACCCAGAGGAUACAUGUCAUCAAAGAGAUUUUUUUAAAGCUAGGACUAAUUAUUACCUCGAAUGAUAGUAAUCUUAGGUAACAACAUCACUCCAGGUAAUGCUAUUUGGAUGUUUAGUUGUGCACACAUUAUAAUAUCGUGUAUGUAUGUUAGGAUGGCAAAUGGCAUGCUUUAGAAUUUUGAUAUUCUGCACCACAUAUUUGCGCAAGAAGAUAUAUACAUCAUAGUCUCGUGCAUCUGCCGACUCAUGGAACCUAUGUUGCACCCCACAGAGCCCAGAUGGUGGAGCAGAGUUUGCUUUUCGGAUUAUGAGGGAGCAAAGUUAGUGGCAUUCCAUGAUGAAGCAUGAGACAAAGCUUGGAUGUCUAGGCAGGCCUCAUCAUAGAGCCGAAUCAGAGGCGCUAGCUUGGUGACUUGCUUUACCUUGUAUAGGUAGCUUACCUUGUCAUGUGGGAUUGUGUGUUGUGUCACAUAGUUGCAUGUUUAGAGAACUAACUUUAUCAUAUUUAUCCCUAACCUUGUAAAUAAAAGCUGAAAACCCAUAGUUGGUUAUUCCCAUUUCCUCCCCUAGUUGACAUCUUUGAUCCUUUCAGUACGCCCCAACCAUCCGUCCUACCACAACAUGGCAAUAUCAUGUAUGCCUUGAGACCUUUGCUCCAACUUUUAUCAGAGGAAUGAUAUUUGGUCCGAUGGAGCUUCCUUGUGCGAAGCGGUAGACCGAGGUACAUGCAAGAAAAUAAUCG